CAAUCCCACGGGUUUACGACCUGAAUCAGCCAAACGAGACGAAUGCUGGAGUUCCAACACAAGAGGCGACCAAUAUGGAAACUGUGGUUCUAGUUUUCAUGCGGACCUAACUGCGUGUAGCCAAGAAGACCAGAGGUGCGGAAAACUCAAUUGCGUGUUUGACAGUGAAGUCAAGCCUAUUACAUUAGUCGAUGUUGGCGAGUUCUCUAAGAGCUGGCCCAACUCGCCCAUCAAGUGUAAUACAAUUGAGUGGCUCUUUCCUGAUUCGGAUGUCGCCGAUGAUUGGUCCUACGUGCGCAAUGGCAUCUGGUGCGCUGAAGAUAGUUUUUGCCACAACAAGCAAUGCACCCAUGUGUCUCAAAUAACAGCUCUCACAACUUGUCCCUUCAACUGCUUUGGUCACGGAAAUUGCAACUCGGUAACUAAUCAGUGCGAAUGUGACGAAGGGUACGCUUCUUUAAACUGCGAGACCGCCACUCUGCCUCCGACCACUACCCUGCCUCCGACCACGAAUCCGCUUCC